GACGAACGCUGGCGGCGUGCUUAACACAUGCAAGUCGAACGAUGAAGCCGGAGCUUGCUCUGGUGAAUUAGUGGCGAACGGGUGAGUAACACGUGAGUAACCUGCCCUUGACUCUGGGAUAACUGCGGGAAACUGUAGCUAAUACCGGAUACGACCCUCGGAGGCAUCUCCUGGGGGUGGAAAGAAUUUCGGUCAAGGAUGGACUCGCGGCCUAUCAGCUAGUUGGUGAGGUAAAGGCUCAACAAGGCGACGACGGAUAGCCGGCCUGAGAGGGUGACCGGCCACAGUGGGACUGAGACACGGCCCAGAGUCCUACGGGAGGCAGCAGUGGGGAAUAUUGCACAAUGGGCGCAAGCCUGAUGCAGCAACGCCGCGUGAGGGAUGACGGCCUUCGGGUUGUAAACCUCUUUUAGCAGGGAAGAAGCGAAAGUGACGGUACCUGCAGAAAAAGCACCGGCUAACUGCGUGCCAGCCGCCGCCGUAA
rnacentral:rRNA from 1 species